CCUACGGGUGGCAGCAGUGGGGAAUAUUGCGCAAUGGGCGCAAGCCUGACGCAGCGACGCCGCGUGAGGGAUGAAGGUCUUCCGAUCGUUAAACUCUGUCAGCCGGGAAGAACGGUCACUGUGCUAAUCAGCCGUGAAUUGACGGCACCUGCAAAGGAAGCACCGGCUACCUCCGGGCCAGCAGCCGCCGUCAGACGGUGGGUGCGAGCGUUAAUCGGAAUUACUGGGCGUAAAGCGCUCGUAGGCGGUAUGUCUAGUCAAGGGGGAAAUCGCCGCACGCAACGUGGGAACUGCCUUUGAAACUGGCGAUCUUGAGUGGGAGAGAGGAUAGUGGAAUUCGAGGUGUAGCAGUGAAAU
rnacentral:rRNA from 1 species